rnacentral:rRNA from 1 species
UAAUACGGAGGGUGCGAGCGUUGUCCGGAAUCACUGGGCGUAAAGGGCGCGUAGGCGGCUUUGUAAGGGUGCGGUGAAAGCCCGGGGCUUACCCCCGGGUCGGCCGUGCCGACUGCAAGGCUUGGGCACUGUAGAGGCAGGCGGAAUUCCGGGUGUAGCGGUGGAAUGCGUAGAGAUCCGGAAGAACACCGGUGGCGAAGGCGGCCUGCUGGGCAGUUGCUGACGCUGAGGCGCGACAGCGUGGGGAGCAAACAGGAUUAGAUACCCUGGUAGUCCACGCCGUAAACGAUGGGCACUAGGUGCCCGGGGGAGCGACCCUCCGGGUGCCGGCGCUAACGCAUUAAGUGCCCCGCCUGGGGAGUACGGCCGCAAGGCUG